rnacentral:lncRNA from 1 species
AAUGCACUACGGGCCAAUGAGGACUUUUUCCACAUCAUUUAUAACAUUACGGUUAUGAUUAUACCGAAUAAUCCCUGGUCAUAAUCAUACCAAGUCCAUCUAUGCACUACAGGCCACAGAUGACUUUCAACAUAAUAUAAGCAUGAGGAUGAUGACAAUGAUAUAAGAAUUCAAUAAAAACAAGUUCAAGAAUUAAUUUAUCCAGGAACUAAUAACGUCC